rnacentral:rRNA from 1 species
AGUGAACACUGGGGGCAGGCGUAACACAUGCAAGUCGGGCGGAGCGGCGGACGGGUGAGUAAUGUAUGGGGGUCUGCCUGAUGGAGGGGGAUAACUACUGGAACCGGUAGCUAAUACCGCAUACCAUACGAUGAACCCAUAUGGGAUUAGCUUGUAGGUAAGGUAACGGCUUACCUAGGCGACGAUCCCUAGCUGGUCUGAGAGGAUGAUCAGCCACACUGGGACUGAGACACGGUCCAGACUCCUACGGGAGGCAGCAGUGGGGAAUAUUGGACAAUGGGCGAAAGCCUGAUCCAGCCAUGCCGCGUGUGUGAAGAAGGUCUUCGGAUUGUAAAGCACUUUAAGUUGGGAGGCGUUACCAACAGAAUAAGCACCGGCUAACUUCGUGCCAGCAGCCGCGGUAAUUC